rnacentral:lncRNA from 1 species
CAAGGCUCAUAUUUGUUCUUUCCUUCUCGAAGGAGGAGUGGAGGAAGGCUGAAGACUAGGUUUUGGGAGAAGUUUCUGUUCGAUCAGAUCCUCCUGUUGAUCUCCUCAAAUGCACUUUAGGAAGUGCAUUACUCAAGCUGGUGAGAGGAAGAUGAAAACAGUAUGAAUGAGUAUGCAACAUUGUCUCAAAGUCAGCCAGCCUGGUAACAUUUUAUUCAGCCAAUACCAAUUGUGAAUACGGGCAAUGAGCAGCAAGACAUUGGAGAAGGGGAUGUCAAAGAUCAUCCAGCAAUACCAACAGCACCAAACUGCUGCCCAGCUAAGGAACUUGGACUGAACUGACUGUGUGUGGGCAUCCUGCUGAAAGGCCCAUAAGAACCCAUGGACUGGAAUGAAGAAGUUGAUGAGCCUAGUGAGGACUGAAUGAUAGCUGGGUCUUGAGGCAAGGAACACUGUGGUUUUGGUGGCU